rnacentral:rRNA from 1 species
GACGAACGCUGGCGGCGUGCUUAACACAUGCAAGUCGAACGGAAAGGCCCUGCUUUUGUGGGGUGCUCGAGUGGCGAACGGGUGAGUAACACGUGAGUAACCUGCCCUUGACUUUGGGAUAACUUCAGGAAACUGGGGCUAAUACCGGAUAGGAUCUCCUGCUGCAUGGUGGGGGUUGGAAAGUUUCGGCGGUUGGGGAUGGACUCGCGGCUUAUCAGCUUGUUGGUGGGGUAGUGGCUUACCAAGGCUUUGACGGGUAGCCGGCCUGAGAGGGUGACCGGCCACAUUGGGACUGAGAUACGGCCCAGACUCCUACGGGCGGCAGCAGUGGGGAAUCUUGCACAGUGGGCGGACGCCUGAUGCAGCAACCCCGCGUGCGGGAUGACGGCUUUCUGGUUGUAAACCGCUUUCGCCUGUGACGAAGCGUGCGUGACGGUAAUGGGUAAAGAAGCCCCGGCUAACUACGUG